rnacentral:lncRNA from 1 species
CCUUCGCCUAGCCACAGCAGCUCCCUCAUGCAGACUCCGCAAGCCAAGAGGCCGUGGAGGCAAAUGCAGACAGCCAGCACACCUCGAACAGCCACCUUGACUGCGGGUGUGUCACCCUAGUCGCCAAGGAAACAUUUGAGGGAAAGCGACAGGCAAUGUGAACAGCCACUUCUCCAUGUAAACGAUACUCUUUCUCUCGGAUGACUCCUACGCCUCGCCACGCCAGCACACUUGUACACAAAGAUGCCGCGGAGGCACGUACAGGUCAGAGGCAAGAAGCAGUGGCACUGAUGUCGACAUUCACCCACUUUCUUUUUCUUACACUGAGGCAGCCAGCACACCUCGAACAGCCACCUUGACUGCGGGUGUGUCAGUAGAUUCCUGUUGUACAUGUGCUCAUAAUAAACUUCAGUAAACUUGAACUUGAUAAUAAACUUGAAGGUAAAUGGGA